rnacentral:rRNA from 1 species
AGCUCCAGAAGCGUAUAUUAAAGUUGUUGCGGUUAAAACGCUCGUAGUUGAAUAUAUGCCAAGUGCGACUGGUCUUCCCUUGUCUGGUAGCACACGGUCCGCACCUGGCUCACUUCUGAGUUUCUUUGCACACUUCAUUGUGUGGAAUUGCAUUCAGAUAUAUUACUUUGAGAAAAUGAGGGUGCUCUAUGCAGAUGUACGUCAUGGAUAUAUUAGCAUGGAAUAGCAUUAUAGAAUAUUAUUUUGAAGGUGCUGGUUUUUUGGAAUAGUAUAAUGGCAAGGGGAACAGUUGGGGGCAUUUAUAUUUAACUGUUAGAGGUGAAAUUCUUGAAUCUUUUAAAGAUAAACAACUGCGAAAGCAUCUGUCCAGGAUGUUUCUA